UACAAAUAAUGAAUAUUCCAUUUCUUUUCCAACUGAUGUCCACCUCUCUGUCUCCUGGUUCUUCGUCAUUGUGCCGCCAUUGUUGCCCCCGUCUGGAUGGUGAGCUGGGAUUGAUUUAUGCAGCGUCGUGCUGCCGUCAAGGUUUUGUGGGCAUGUGGAAUAGUGGCCGUGUCCUCUGAGAGUCUAGCAGUGUGUUUCUCUGUCUGAGGGCUAAGCUGUAUGAGUUGAGGCACUUUGGCUUGGAGUGGCUUCACCUCACUAUCUUAAAGUCAUAUCGUCAGCUUACAGAAAACAAAACAUCCCUUGAUUUUAAUUUAUACAUAGAAUAAAAUUGUACUAUUUUCUUAAAUUUUAUUUCUUUCCUCAUCCAGUAUUACUUGGGAGCUGAAUGCAAAACAAAAUGGGGGGGAAAUGAUUGAUACACGGAUGACUAAAAGCAUCCCUGAUUGGUUUAGGCUCAGCGGGGGGACCAGGGACUAAAAGCAUCCCUGAUUGGUUUAGGCUCAGCGUAGACUAGGGACUGUCCGCUGGGUCGGUCCUGGGGCAGCUCGCUCGCUCUAGAGAAGGAAAGGCUGGAUCAGGGGGGGGGGGGGGUGUGUGUGGCAGGGGCAGAGGUAGUCUUUGUCCAAAGGGGUAGAAGGAAGGGUGGGGUGCCUUCAGCUCAGCUCCCCCACCCAGGGACGGGAGAAAGGCGAUUCUACCUGUAAGUCGUAAAUGUCAAAUCUUACCACUAGGAAGGCACAAGGGGCCGCUGUGAAGAGUUCUACAAGUGUGUGUGAGUGUGUGUGUGUGUGUGUGUGUGUGUGUGUGUGAGGGAGGCAUCAAGGGGCCGCUGUAAAGAGUAUCCUAUUAGCAUUCAAGUGUCUCCACACCGGCUUCACCAAACAAGGGCUUAUAUAGAAGAGCGCCCCCUCGUGAUACUGGAGGACUUGUGUCGUCUGUCCCUGGCCCCCGUUCUACAAGUGUGUGUGUGUGUGUGAGGGAGGCAUUGUGUGUUUGGAGCCUUGUCGGGGUCAGUGUACUCGGCAGCUCCGUGUGGACAUUCGUGCUGAAGGUUGGACGAGGAAGAAUGAAGUAACAUCGCGUAACGUAACCCUAGAAACCCGUCCCAAAGUCCCAUCACCUUAAAAAUCAAUAAAUACAUUGCAGUUCUUCACAACCUAAGCUUUGGUUAACAUUUACACACUCUUUACAGUAUCUACAUAACGGUGCUGUUCAAUAUAUGCAUACGCUUAGAUUUAAACCUAGACACACAAAGUUAUGAAUCUUAGUGGACCACGCAGGGCAUAAAACAUAAACCUAAAAAUGUCCUAAAAAUUCAUAACAGAAUUGUUGCAUUUUGAGUGAGCACACACUACCAGCAGUGACGAUUGGCA
ensembl:lncRNA